UCCCUCUUAGCUCAGUGGUAGAGCGCGUCACUUGUAUCCUUUAAUGACGAGGUCAGUCGUUCAAUCCGGCUAGGGGGAA